UACAGAGGUCUCAAGCGUUGUUCGGAUUCAUUGGGCGUAAAGGGUGCGUAGGCGGCGCGGUAAGUCGGAUGUGAAAUCUCGGGGCUUAACUCCGAAACUGCAUUCGAUACUGCCGUGCUUGAGGACUGGAGAGGAGACUGGAAUUUACGGUGUAGCGGUGAAAUACGUAGAUAUCGUAAGGAAGACCAGUGGCGAAGGCGGGUCUCUGGACAGUUCCUGACGCUGAGGCACGAAGGUCAGGGGAGCAAACGGG
rnacentral:rRNA from 1 species